AAGCAACUUAGCAAGAGACUAUCUCAAACUAAGAAAUAAAAAGGGCUGGGGAUGUGGCUAAGUGAUAAAGCACCCCCGGGUUCAAAUCCUAGUACCAAAGGAAAGAAAGAAAGAAACCUUUGGGAAAGUGAUUUUUGUGGACUCCUAGAUCACCCUUCUUGGUAUUUAAUGACUCAAACAGGAAUCUGCUAGCAACUAUCUUGCCCACGGUUAAACCUCUUGUACAAACUACUUAUAACAGUGUUCACUCUCCACUUUAGCAAGGGGCAUCCUUCUGCCUAUCUCCUGAGCCCAGCUAUCCCCUCCAUUAUCAAGCAUGGCAGAUGUGUCACCUAAAUUCAAAUGUCCUCCCCCAUUUCCUUGGCAGUUCCAGCCCUUAACAUGCUUCAGAUCUCUGCUAUAAAAGUUAUCAUCUCCUGAAACUCCUGGCAGUGACACCAGAAGAUUCUAGUUAGUCUUCAUUCUCAUUUUUCUUUUCCCCCAGACUUCCAAACACUAAGUUAUCACUUGACAAUUUUUGCCAAUGUACUUACCUUUGUAUUUCUCUUACUCUCCCCCCACCCCAAAUUAGUGUCUUUCCAACCUAUUCCAUAAACUGGGAGCUCCUCUGGUGUACAGGCCAGGACUCCUUCCUCCUGAACCCUCAUGGGUGCUUCCUGAUUAUUGACUAUCAGGAAGUCCCACCUAAGAGCUAACCCUCUGGCUACUGGGUGGUUGGGGCCUAGAAAUAUGAUAAGGCUUUGGCCUGCUGCCAACUUACUGGAUGGUCCCCAAGGGCAAUUUGGGGAUGUGAAGGGGAAAAUGACUCCUAUUACAAUGUAUUUCCAAGUGCCCUAGAGUAGAAACCAUGCUUCUCACUGCAUUCAGGGCCACUGUCUACCUCUUUCUUGCUCUUAGCAUCCUGGCCUGCCAAGGCUACAGUACUAGUAAGACCUACUGCAUAAUGAGGAACAUCACUCAAGGGCUGUUCCAUCCAGAGACAUGUGGCAGAGAAGUGGCUGGACAAGGGAUCCUGAAGGUGAGCAAAGGUCAGACAUGAGCCAAAUGUCUAGCUCCAUCUCUGCUGCAGAGACAGAGAUAGGCUGUUUCUUUAGGGCUAAUGAACAACAAGUUGGAGCCAUGACUGGGGGCUGGAGUUGGGGGGCUGUAGAGCAGAGUUUAUAGGCACUUGCAUUUUCUUAACGGCUCCCUCCUCACACAUUCCUCUGCAUUUUUCCCUUUUAUUAAUGUGGCAUCUUUCCCAGGCCACUUUAUGGGCCCGUGUGUGUUUUCACUUAUGCCCUGAUUGAGUUUGAUCGUGUCUCUGCCUAUGAAGAACCCUUAGAUCUUGCUUGAGGACUCCCCACCCCCACCCCCACGUUCCCCUGCAAGGACUCCAGCACUGCAUCUCAACAGAACCUCAGGGACUCUCCCGUCUUUUCCACCACACUGGGCACUUCUCUACAAAGGGUCACACCUCAUCUGGACCCCAAAUAAGGUGACCCAGUUUGAUGACUCACCUAAAUCUCAAAUGACUCCUGGAACUUGCCCAACAAUCAAAUCUGCCACAGAGGAUGAAAAGGAAGAUUUGCCACAACUGAAGAUUUUCAAAGGAAUGUGCUGUGAGCCUGAAGGCCGUUGCCAAAGAGCAGUUCUGAAAAUAUUUUGAGCAAUCACAGCUCUGAGAGAACAUAGCUUUCCAAGGGAACUGCCUUCAAAGGCACAGCAUGCGUUUUUGGAGAGUCAAGCUUCGGCGUGUUUAUUAAAAAAGACGCUCAUGUUGCUUUCAGGAACUCUGCUCUCAGCCUUUCUCUCUUCUGCUCAGUUCCAAGAGGGCAGGACAGAGGUUUGCAGCUCACUUGCUCUCUUUGGGCCCUGUUACCCUCUAUCUGUCUCCUGUUAUCUGGAGGUUGCUCCGUUUCAGUUUCACUGGGACAUAAGUGGAAAGCUUGGUGACAGCCCUGUGAUUUUUGAAAAAUAUACCCUCUGGGAGCUGCAGUUUUUUUUCUCUGUAAAAUAAGGAAAAGUCAUACACAUGGGCUGGGGAUAUCACUCAGUUGGUAGAGUGCUUGUCUUGCAGGCACAAGACCCUGGGUUGAAUCCCCAGCAUCACCAAAAAAAAUAAAAGAAAGAAAAGUCAUAUACAUUCUGCAGGGUGGUGAGAAUUAAAUCUGUAAGAGGCUUGGCAUGCUGGGGGUCAUCAGUAAAUACUAGGGAUUUUUG
rnacentral:tRNA from 1 species